GAUCCUGGCUCAGGAUGAACGCUAGCUACAGGCUUAACACAUGCAAGUCGAGGGGCAGCAUGACGGAAGCUUGCUUUCGUUAUGGGCGACCGGCGCACGGGUGAGUAACGCGUAUCCAACCUGCCCUUGUCCAUCGGAUAACCCGUCGAAAGGCGGACUAACACGAUAUGCAGUUCUCAGCAGGCAUCUAACGAGAACGAAAUGUGAAGGAGAAGGAUGGGGAUGCGU
rnacentral:rRNA from 1 species